rnacentral:rRNA from 1 species
AUUGAACGCUGGCGGCAUGCCUUACACAUGCAAGUCGAACGGCAGCACGGGUGCUUGCACCUGGUGGCGAGUGGCGAACGGGUGAGUAAUACAUCGGAACGUACCUUAUCGUGGGGGAUAACGCAGCGAAAGUUGCGCUAAUACCGCAUACGCCCUGAGGGGGAAAGCGGGGGACCGUAAGGCCUCGCGCGAUUAGAGCGGCCGAUGCCUGAUUAGCUUGUUGGUGGGGUAAAAGCCCACCAAGGCGACGAUCAGUAGCUGGUCUGAGAGGACGAUCAGCCACACUGGGACUGAGACACGGCCCAGACUCCUACGGGAGGCAGCAGUGGGGAAUUUUGGACAAUGGGGGCAACCCUGAUCCAGCAAUGCCGCGUGAGUGAAGAAGGCCUUCGGGUUGUAAAGCUCUUUUGUCAGGGAAGAAACACCGGCUCUAACACAGUCCGGGAAUGACGGUACCUGAAGAAUAAGCACCGGCUAACUACGUGCCAGCCGCCGCAGUAA